rnacentral:misc_RNA from 1 species
GCGACUAAAUGGAUUCACAUGCUUCCAAUCUAUGAACUUUGGAGGAAUCCAGCUUGUGUGGAUGAGAAUGAGAAGUGUAGUGCGUGGGCAAAUGCAGGUGAGUGUGAAAAGAAUCCGGGUUAUAUGAAGGGUUCUAAGAAUGAACUUGGAUACUGUAGGAUGAGUUGCAAAGUUUGCUCUCCUCCCUCAUAAAAGAAAAUUAUGCUUCUUUUACAAUAUACACUAAUCAGAAGCAAGAGUUCUUUCUUCUUACACAGAUACACAUGUAAAUGACUUCGAGAGGUGUCAUAUAUAUAUAACUAUUGAAUCA